UUUUAGUAUUAAUUCAACGCAAGUGUUCAUACAUGAGGCCCCUCAAAUGUUGUUUUGGUCAUUUUAAAAUGCCUUACCAUUUAAGGAUGAGUGUUAUUAUAUUAUUAAAUACCUCCAGAAUAUAGUGAAGCAUCUGCGCUCCGCGUCUCACUCCUUCAAACGCCACCUUGUGGUCAUUGCAAUCCAGCAUCGUCUUCUGGAUGCAAGUAAUUUAUUAAAUAAGGAAAAGAUACACACAGCUUCUCAAUCCUACCGCAGCAGAUGAGUUUCUACUGUUGAUAUCUGGUGCUAGUUAUUGAGGAAGUGACGAUUUUAUUCUCUUUGACUCGUUGGAUGGAAACGCUGCUUUAUUCGCACAUUUUGCGAUAUUCUGGUUUUGUUCAUAAAUUUAAUUCACAUUUUUGUAUGGAAAAACAUAGCUAUUGGUGUGUUCACAGAUGCAGUUCAGACAGAGAAUGGCAGACAAACAUCAACAAGCUACUUUAUUUAAAAUAUAUUGGUUUGUAAUUGCUAACUGUACUCUAAAGCUUCAUCUCCGGUUAAUUUGACAUAGUGGGACUUAUAGUGCUAUCAGGCUGACGUUAGCAUUUUACAAGAUCUCCUAUUGCACCUUUAAGUGUUGUUUUGGAGCCCACUGACUUAAAUACUAUGGAUAAAAUGAUUGAAAUAUUCUUCCAAAUCUGAUUUAUUUGUUCUCCACAAAAGAAAGUCAGGCCUGGCACCAUGAGAGGCCAAAGGAGGCAUUGAUCCUACUUAUGUAAUUUGUGUCCCUCAGCAGGACAAGUGUGAAAUACUUGCAAUUUCAGAUGAUAAAUGUUUCUAACGGAGGAGAACAAAAAUCGUAACAAGCGAGGACAUUGUGUGCAUCUCCAAGAAUGACAUAUUUGUGUGCUCUGGUGUCUGUAAUCAUCCAGGCUUGAAACUACAUGAGGGUGAGUACAUAUUUCAGAUUAACUAUACCUUUAAGUAAAUACCCAGAAUUGAAUUGGUGUGGAAUGGUCUCUCGAGUGAGGAAAAAUGAACGUUGAGAAUGUAAAAUGUACGAGACGUCCAAAUAUCCUGUGGUGUUGUGCAUUCUCCAAGUAUACUCCAAGUGCGGUUGUGUCCCACAGGUGCAUGAGAGGAUUCUCUACAGUCUUAUCUGUCCCCGUUCUUCCUUUUUGCACAAAUACAACACAUAAACAUUUUGUAAAGAAGUGAUACUUCCUUUAUUUCAUGCCUAGAAAUGAUAAUAAAUGAUUUUAAAAUGAUUCUUGGUGUGGUUGUGGUGUUUCCACCCUGCUUCUAGAGUCCUCCAUGUUCUGCUUCUGUGGCUCAGAGACAUUUAUGGGGGGUGGGGGGGGGGGGGGGCUUUCUGCACAUGUAGUCGGUCACUUUUAAAGUCACUUCUCUGUCUCUAGCUUUCUCUUCUCUUCUACAAGGCUGUAAAGCCCCUCCAUACCCCCACCCCCUCUUUUGUUUUUCACAUAGUUUCCAAAGUAGCUCCUGAGCAUGGAUAAAUUCAACAGACAUCUCUGGCUUAUUUAUAGAGAGGUAAUCGUAAACAGUGGCUAUUGAUAGUCUGUCAACAGGCACAGAACCUUAUUCAUUUUUAUUUAAUUUUUUAAAACAUUUGCUAAAAUACAAGUAAGAGCACAAAUGUGUCAAAAUAAAAAUCAAUUAUUGGUCAACAAUGAAAAUUUUAUGGUAAAAUUUUCCAACCAUCUGUUCUCCAAAUCAUUUUUCCUAUGUAGGGCCAUGGACAUGCUGGAUCCCACUCAGUGGCUGUGUUCCAUUCCAGGGAUUUCAUCCUCAUGGCCUAAUCUCUUCAAAGUAGUUACCCACCAGACAGUGGCAUGGCUUGGAAAUCUGGGCGCUAGAGAUCCGGUACUGAAUGGGCCCCACAAACUGACUCGAGAAGAUUUCACUGUCGAUUGGGGAAGGACGAACAAAAUUCACCUCACAUCUAAA